AAACCAAUAUUCAUCUCAGAAGUUAUACAUAUUAUUACAUCACAACCGUAAUAUCAAGAAUACAUUCAAUAUACAACGAAUAUUUUCAUGACACUCUCCAGAAGCAAUUUAGAAACCAAGUGAACAAAAAAAAUUCAACCGACCAAAACGCAUUUUUGGCUAUUGCACCAGUGAAACAGACAGUAGGAUGUCAAUUUCUUCGCAGGAUUGUCAACAUAAUAAGCAGGACCUGAAUCACCGUGAAACCCCGAGCUAUACGACGCCAAUUUUGAAAAAAUUUAAAAGUUCAUUUUGUCCGCAUAUGUCGUUUUGUCCGCAUUUCCCUUACUCGUAAAAACUCCAUCUUAAUUUCAACGCGGUGAUAGAUACAAAAAGUUUUGUUCGAGAACCUCAAACAUUCUUCCAAGUUGAAUCCUCAUCAAUAUGACCAGACAGUCUUAUCAAAAACAAAGCGAACAUAAAAACCAUAAACAAUCGUGUAAUAAACGCUGGAAUUUCAACAUGUCUGCCAUCGUUUUAUGCCUUAUAUCGAACUAAAUCGUUUAAUCAAUCCAUAGUUGUGUAGGGGUCUUGUCACAAUGCCACAAUUUAAACGAUAACUGACUUCCUCAGUUCAACAGACACUGCUCCAAUUGACAGACUAAUCAACAAAAUUGUCGCAGUCGUUUGUGAUACUUCAUUCGAAAUUUACUCAAGCUAAGUAUCGUCAAUAGGACGUUUAUUUUUGUCAAGUGUCAGUGUGAAGUUCUGGAAAUGUACAAGAAUCCGUUCAACAGAAGGCAUUGCACCAUUCGCCAGGUAUUCGACAGGAUUUUUCAUGUAGAAAAUACCAUCUGGAAGGCGAAGAAAAGAGAAGAUAGGGUUGAUUCCAGUUUGAAGUCUUUUAAGGGUGUCCAUACUGUACCAAGCAGCUUGAACCUGCGUGAUGAGAGGAAACAAAGAGUGAGGAAGUGAUGUUCUACAUUUUUUGUAUCAAGAAAAAGGUUUGCUGAUACUUAGUGAUUUUACCCAGCUUAAAUAAAACGCUAGGAGUAAGAGCUUGAAAUAUGAGAUUAUUGUAUGUUGUAAUAAGUUACUAUUAUGAUUAUCUUCUGAAUAAUUAAUGUACAAAUAGUCUAACGACAGUUGUUUCAAUAUGAAAGAAUGAAAAUAAAAAGACUGAAUACUC